rnacentral:tRNA from 1 species
UCCCUGAUAGCUCAGUUGGUAGAGCAAGCGGCUGUUAACCGCUGGGUCGUAGGUUCGAGUCCUACUCGGGGAGCCA